CGUUGUUUAAUCUUAUUAUCAUUAUUGUCUAAGACUAUGUGAUUUAUUAUCGUUCCGCUAUGUAAUAAACACUGCAAUGGUACAUUUGAGAUUUGUCUACUUAUGUGUGCGACUGUUUCUGGGGCACAUAUGAGUCUUUUAUGCAUCCUAUUUUGUUCUUAAAAUAUGGGAGGAACACAAUUGACACAAAACAAAUAUACUAUUACCAUAUUUUUUUUUUACUUUCUUUUACUUUUUCGCAUCUAGAUCAGUAGUUAUGCUUUGUUAAUUUUCUGUAAACAAGCCGAGAGCUUUUGCUUGUAAAGCAACCGGUUCAAUUCUUCACCGUAAUUGAAUAAAUUAUCUUUUUACUAGUUUGCUCGAAAAUUAGUCAUGUUUGCUUAUAUGAAAGUGAAGCAAUCCAGUCAUUGGUGACUUCUAUGUUGAUUUUCGGCAUCAAGCAAUUUGAUGACUUCAUUAGGGAAGGAUUGAUUCCACUACUAAAUUUGGACCCUUUUUCAACGCCCCAAAUAUGUUGCAAU
rnacentral:lncRNA from 1 species